rnacentral:rRNA from 1 species
GACGUAGGGCGCGAGCGUUGUCCGGAUUUAUUGGGCGUAAAGAGCUCGUAGGCGGUCUGUUGCGUCGGCUGUGAAAACCCGGGGCUCAACCCCGGGCCUGCAGCCGAUACGGGCAGACUAGAGUUCGGUAGGGGAGUCUGGAAUUCCUGGUGUAGCGGUGAAAUGCGCAGAUAUCAGGAGGAACACCGGUGGCGAAGGCGGGACUCUGGGCCGAUACUGACGCUGAGGAGCGAAAGCGUGGGGAGCAAACAGG